UACGGGAGGCAGCAGUAGGGAAUCUUGCGCAAUGGGCGAAAGCCUGACGCAGCAACGCCGCGUGGGGGAUGACGGCCUUCGGGUUGUAAACCUCUUUUACCACUAACGCAGGCUCGGGGUGUUCUCCGGGUUGACGGUAGGUGGGGAAUAAGGACCGGCUAACUACGUGCCAGCAGCCGCGGUAAU
rnacentral:rRNA from 1 species